GGGAAACAAGGAUGAGGCUGGGGAGAUGAGCCACCCCGAGUUCUCCUCAAGAGAAUAGGCUCA
rfam:Fukomys damarensis contig94278, whole genome shotgun sequence.